GAGCUUUCGCUGAAGGAGGGGCUUGCGUCUGAUUAGCUAGUUGGAGGGGUAACGGCCCACCAAGGCGACGAUCAGUAGCCGGUCUGAGAGGAUGAACGGCCACAUUGGGACUGAGACACGGCCCAGACUCCUACGGGAGGCAGCAGUGGGGAAUCUUCCGCAAUGGACGAAAGUCUGACGGAGCAACGCCGCGUGAACGAUGACGGCCUUCGGGUUGUAAAGUUCUGUUAUACGGGACGAAUGG
rnacentral:rRNA from 1 species